rnacentral:rRNA from 1 species
CCCUUAGAUGUUCUGGGCCGCACGCGCGCUACACUGACGAAUGCAACUAGCUUAUAACCUUGGCCGAAAGGUCUGGGUAAUCUCCAAAUUUCGUCGUGAUGGGGAUAGAUUAUUGCAAUUAUUAAUCUUCAACGAGGAAUGCCUAGUAAGCGCAAGUCAUCAGCUUGCGUUGAUUACGUCCCUGCCCUUUGUACACACCGCCCGUCGCUCCUACCGAUUGAAUGGUCCGGUGAAGCGUUCGGACCGUGGCCUUUGGACGGUUCGCCGUCUGUUGGCUGCGGGAAGUUCGUUAAACCUUAUCAUUUAGAGGAAGGAGAANUCGUANCA